AGCCCGCUCCCGCAGGCACACACCUCUGCCUCCGGUCGUGCUCGCAGUAACGGCCGGCGCGGUGGGCGGGGCCUACGCAGCAGGUGCCCAGGGCGCAGGUGCCGCCCUUCCUGCAGCCGCGCAGCGGCGGGGGCGCGCCUGCUGGGGGGACACCUGGGUGCUGGCGUCCGCUGCCUCCUGGCCCUUCGCGGUGACGCCCCCGAGAGCGCCUCAUGAGCCUGCCCCGAGAGGCAGGAAGCUUCACCUCCAGGCCCAUGUGUGUUUGCUCAGGCUGCUCUCAGAUCCUAAACUGGGAGACCAGUGACGGAGAUGACCACAAAGCUACUUGGGGGACAAGGCGACUUACCACCUUGGAAAGCCCUGAGUACAUUGAAGAUCAAUUUCCAAGGAAGUGUAGCUCUGUUUCCAAGGAAGUCGAGUCUUACCGGGUUUUGUAUUUGAAGGGAUCUUUACUCCAGGUCGUGGAAUAACUGCAUUAGGA